rnacentral:rRNA from 1 species
AACGAACGCUAGCGGUAUGCUUUAUACAUGCAAGUCGAACGAGAAAGUACCUUCGGGUACGAGUAGAGUGGCGCACGGGUGAGUAACGCGUAGAUAACCUGCCCUAAGGUUCGGGAUAACUUUCUGAAAAGAAAGCUAAUACCGGGUAAUAAAGAGAGACAAGUGUCUUUUUUUUGAAAGGAUUUAUUUGCCAUAGGAUGGGUCUGCGUAACAUUAGCUAGUUGGUGAGGUAAAGGCUCACCAAGGCGACGAUGUUUAGCGGAUCUGAGAGGAUGAUCCGCCACACUGGAACUGAGACACGGUCCAGACUCCUACGGGAGGCAGCAGUAGGGAAUAUUGCGCAAUGGGGGCAACCCUGACGCAGCAAUACCGCGUGGAUGAAGAAGGCCUUCGGGUCG